GAGUUUGAUCGUGGCUCAGAUUGAACGCUGGCGGCAUGCCUAACACAUGCAAGUCGAACGGCAGCACUGGGAGCUUGCUCCCUGGUGGCGAGUGGCGGACGGGUGAGUAACGCGUAGGAAUCUGCCUCAUAGCGGGGGACAACUCGGGGAAACUCGAGCUAAUACCGCAUACUACUCGAGAGGGGAAAGCAGGGGACCUUCGGGCCGUUGCACUAUGAGAUGAGCCUGCGUUGG
rnacentral:rRNA from 1 species